CGGGACACGUGGUAUCCUGUCUGAAUAUGGGGGGACCAUCCUCCAAGGCUAAAUACUCCUGACUGACCGAUAGUGAACCAGUACCGUGAGGGAAAGGCGAAAAGAACCCCGGCGAGGGGAGUGAAAAAGAACCUGAAACCGUGUACGUACAAGCAGUGGGAGCACGCUUAGGCGUGUGACUGCGUACCUUUUGUAUAAUGGGUCAGCGACUUAUAUUCUGUAGCAAGGUUAACCGAAUAGGGGAGCCGAAGGGAAACCGAGUCUUAACUGGGCGUUAAGUUGCAGGGUAUAGACCCGAAACCCGGUGAUCUAGCCAUGGGCAGGUUGAAGGUUGGGUAACACUAACUGGAGGACCGAACCGACUAAUGUUGAAAAAUUAGCGGAUGACUUGUGGCUGGGGGUGAAAGGCCAAUCAAACCGGGAGAUAGCUGGUUCUCCCCGAAAGCUAUUUAGGUAGCGCCUCGUGAAUUCAUCUCCGGGGGUAGAGCACUGUUUCGGCAAGGGGGUCAUCCCGACUUACCAACCCGAUGCAAACUGCGAAUACCGGAGAAUGUUAUCACGGGAGACACACGGCGGGUGCUAACGUCCGUCGUGAAGAGGGAAACAACCCAGACCGCCAGCUAAGGUCCCAAAGUCAUGGUUAAGUGGGAAACGAUGUGGGAAGGCCCAGACAGCCAGGAUGUUGGCUUAGAAGCAGCCAUCAUUUAAAGAAAGCGUAAUAGCUCACUGGUCGAGUCGGCCUGCGCGGAAGAUGUAACGGGGCUAAACCAUGCACCGAAGCUGCGGCAGCGACGCUGAUGCGUUGUUGGGUAGGGGAGCGUUCUGUAAGCCUGUGAAGGUGUGCUGUGAGGCAUGCUGGAGGUAUCAGAAGUGCGAAUGCUGACAUAAGUAACGAUAAAGCGGGUGAAAAGCCCGCUCGCCGGAAGACCAAGGGUUCCUGUCCAACGUUAAUCGGGGCAGGGUGAGUCGACCCCUAAGGCGAGGCCGAAAGGCGUAGUCGAUGGGAAACAGGUUAAUAUUCCUGUACUUGGUGUUACUGCGAAGGGGGGACGGAGAAGGCUAUGUUGGCCGGGCGACGGUUGUCCCGGUUUAAGCGUGUAGGCUGGUUUUCCAGGCAAAUCCGGAAAAUCAAGGCUGAGGCGUGAUGACGAGGCACUACGGUGCUGAAGCAACAAAUGCCCUGCUUCCAGGAAAAGCCUCUAAGCAUCAGGUAACAUCAAAUCGUACCCCAAACCGACACAGGUGGUCAGGUAGAGAAUACCAAGGCGCUUGAGAGAACUCGGGUGAAGGAACUAGGCAAAAUGGUGCCGUAACUUCGGGAGAAGGCACGCUGAUAUGUAGGUGAAGUCCCUCGCGGAUGGAGCUGAAAUCAGUCGAAGAUACCAGCUGGCUGCAACUGUUUAUUAAAAACACAGCACUGUGCAAACACGAAAGUGGACGUAUACGGUGUGACGCCUGCCCGGUGCCGGAAGGUUAAUUGAUGGGGUCAGCGCAAGCGAAGCUCUUGAUCGAAGCCCCGGUAAACGGCGGCCGUAACUAUAACGGUCCUAAGGUAGCGAAAUUCCUUGUCGGGUAAGUUCCGACCUGCACGAAUGGCGUAAUGAUGGCCAGGCUGUCUCCACCCGAGACUCAGUGAAAUUGAACUCGCUGUGAAGAUGCAGUGUACCCGCGGCAAGACGGAAAGACCCCGUGAACCUUUACUAUAGCUUGACACUGAACAUUGAGCCUUGAUGUGUAGGAUAGGUGGGAGGCUUUGAAGUGUGGACGCCAGUCUGCAUGGAGCCGGCCUUGAAAUACCACCCUUUAAUGUUU
rnacentral:rRNA from 1 species